AUGCUGUUGGCUCUAGCUCUGCUUCUAGCUUUCCUGCCUCCUGCCAGUCAGAAAUCUUCCAACUUGGAAGGGAGAACAAAGUCAGUCACCAGGCCAACUGGGUCAUCAGCUGUAAUCACUUGUGAUCUUCCUGUAGAAAAUGCCGUCUACACCCACUGGUACCUACACCAGGAGGGGAAGGCCCCACAGCGUCUUCUGUACUAUGACUCCUACAACUCCAGGGUUGUGUUGGAAUCAGGAAUCAGUCGAGAAAAGUAUCAUACUUAUGCAAGCACAGGGAAGAGCCUUAAAUUUAUACUGGAAAAUCUAAUUGAACGUGACUCUGGGGUCUAUUACUGUGCCACCUGGGAUAGG